GGGGGGGCGGGCCCGUGGCUCGUUGUUCCAGACAGCGGGCGACUAAAAGUCAGGCUUCGGGUGACCUGUUCUGGCCAUCUCCCCCGACUUCUGUAACCAAAAAGCCGUAAUCUAAGUAUUAAAAAAAAUGAAACAAUUCCUGACGGGCCUAACCCCGCGCGCUUCCUCACAAAGCGCCGAGUUUUUUAUUACGGCCCCCGAGAGCCCUGGGCGCCUGCUGAGCCUCUGCCCGUCGGGCUGUGCGCUCCUGCAGCUGCAAACUGUGCUGCUGCCCACACGUUACCGAUUUUAGAGACGCUUGCUGGGGUCCACGGGGAAACAACAGGCUGUAUGCCCACCUAGCAGCUGCAUGCUGGAAGCGCAAUGGGAUGAUGCCAGUGACGUGCACUUCCACCCUCUUGAUGAUGCAGAGCUGCUCUUGCAGAUACUGGAGCUUUCCUUCACAAGAAAAAACCAAGUUGGUGUAACUCGGACUUGAUUUUAUGAGCAGGAGCGCGUGUUCGCACCUUAGCUGUCAGCUCCCACGCUUCCCUGUCUUGGCUUCGGUAAUUAAUUGCAGAGAGGUCAAACAGGUGGGCAAAGCAUACGCGAGAGUAAGCUGCUGCCGGUUUAGAUCAGCAGGUAAGCUGAUGUCUACUGCAGAGGAGCUCUGAACGUUUAGUGCUUACCAUCAUCCAGCAGCUUCCCCAGGAAAAAACGCAGGUUUGGUCUCGUUUGUUAAAAGUGAAAAAAAGCCGCUGCCUGCCCCUCCAGCUGGAGGGGCCACAUCUAGAACUGCUGUGAGGAAAUGUGGGAGAACGAGGCACGCCUUUAUGAAUGCAGUAGAAUUAGAUGAAAAUUUGUUUUGCUUCUAUAUAGAGCAAAAAACCUGGGAAAAUGUCUUUUUUUUUUCUUUUGCAUAUUUACAUUGUAAGCAGCAGUACAGAUGCUCCUCUAACUCAUGGGUUAUACUUGCAUCUUUAUUGGGACCAAUCAUCCUUAAAAGGUUGGAUGUCGUGAGGUUAAACUGAAAAUCAACAGUUACUAUCUCGGUUUCUUGCAGAUUGUUGCUAGGCGAGUACAUGGAGCUGCUGUUGGCCUCUGUACCCCUCCCACCCCCCUAUCUGAUGCAGAAUUUCAACAUCAGUUGUAGCAAAACUUUAUUGGUAACUGGAAGUUACAUCCCAUAUCUACAUCCCAUACAUCCCAGAAAUAAAUUCUUGAGGGAUCCGGUUUGGACAGACCGUUCCUUUCAUCGUGUAAGACAGUGCUGCAUUCACAGGAUAGAUGAAAGAGAAUUACACAUUUUCAGAAGGCGUACGAUGCCCUCUAGCAUUUCUGUAACCAUGGUAACAUAUAUAGAUAGCAGGCCCGAGUUCAACCCACGUUUUACUGUUCCAGCAGUAAAGAAUUGGAUUCUAUAAACACCAACCUAGCUCCUAGAAUAAAAUACUGGCCUUUGACUUCCCGAUUAAAAAAAUGCUGGUUAUAUAGUGCUACAGCUUAACAAACAUCCAGUAUAAAGUCCUAAGAUCAGCUCUGUAAUAAAACUAUGCAGGAUGUCUUGCCUCACCAGCCCCACAGCCACAAUGAAGAAGGGGAGAAGCUAAGAUUUUAAUGAAUGCAAAAUAAAUACGAAUGCGUUCAACAAAACUUAAGCUUGAAAUUUAAAAAAAAAAAAAAAAAAGCACCCCCAUCAAAUUUUCACGUGUUUUAUUUAGGUGAACAUACACAUGGUCCACAUACUCAAUGAAAAUAGUCAUAAAAUAAUUUAAGAACUUAUGUUGAAAGGUAUUAGCAGCACCAUCAGUAUUGGAAUAGCAGAAAAUUCAUGCCUCCGUAGGGCAUACAUUUAUGCCUGGAUAAAAAUGCCAUCAUUUGUAACGGGAUGGGAAUGGCUUUAUAGGAUGCUUUUGAGAGUCGGAGUUUUAAAACACACACUUUGUUGCUAAAUACUUUGACAAUCAAUGUUACAAAAAAAUACAACUAAAUAAGAUACUGCAUAGUAUUUUAAUUAACAUAAAGAAAUCGACAUUGAGCUGUGUAAAGCAAGACUCAACAUCUCUGCUUCCACGUACAUUUCAUUUCUGAGUAGAGAAAUCUAAAAUUUAAAAACAAAAUAUAGACCUAGUGUAUUCUCUAAAAGACACACUUUAGGUGGAACAUAUAGUACUACGAAAAUACAUAUCUUCCAUUCUGUUUAAUAAUUUACUUUAGUUAAAAAGUUGUGAAAUUCUCAUCACAAGAAGCGUAUACAAAUUCAUGACUUUAGUAAAUUAACAAAAAGGAUUAUUUUUUUUUUUUUUAAACAAGGUUUAGCCCCGCUGUAACAAUUAUACAAGGAAG